UACGUAGGAGGCGAGCGUUGUCCGGAAUUACUGGGCGUAAAGAGCGCGUAGGCGGCGCGGUACGACCGCUGUGAAAGCCCCCAGCUCAACUGGGGAGGGUCAGCGGUAACGGCCGUGCUUUGAGUGCAGGAGAGGGAAGUGGAACUCCGGGAGUAGCGGUGAAAUGCGUAGAGAUCCGGAGGAACACCAAAGGCGAAGGCAGUGUCCUGGGGAGUACCUGACGCUCAGGUGCGAAAGCCAGGGGAGCGAACGGG
rnacentral:rRNA from 1 species